rnacentral:lncRNA from 1 species
CCUUUAAUCAAAUGGUUGAGAUGGAAGUCACUCGUUUCUAUUCUCAUUCCAUAAUCCAUCACUCUCGAACCAAACAUACCCUAAUAUCUUGAAUUUCUAAUAGAUUUGAGAGCACUAAAGCGGGGACUCGAUGCUCAAAUGUAUUCAUUAAAAAAAUCUUGAUUCCUUUCAAAAAAAUUUUUGAGUGCAUUUAGUCUAAGAUCAGAAUCGAAAUAAAUUGAAACAAAAAUCGAAAUAGCUACAUCCUCCAUUCCCAUUCC